rnacentral:tRNA from 1 species
GUCCCCAUCGUCUAGAGGCCCAGGACCGCGGCUUUUCACGUCGCUAACGGGGGUUCGAAUCCCCCUGGGGACA